GCCCCAGGGAGCAAGGGCUUCAGCAGGAUGGUUUGCUGGGGGAGAAUGGAGACAAGCAACACCAACAGCUCCCUGUGGCCGGAGGCUAAAUUCAGAUCAAUGACUAUGAGCAGAAGCGGUGCAGGCAAUUCCAGGUCCUAACAUUCCAAAGAAAGCUGGUGAACCAGAGGCAAGUGCAACCUGCCUGUUCCAGAGAUAGGAGGCGUGUGUCCAUGUUGGCAGAACCUCUGUCCACCCCCGACUGACCCUCUGGACUGUACGGAGAGAGAAAUAAGCUUUAUUCUUAUCUCUUAUUUGAACCUAUCUAUCUUGUGGUCCCUUUGUUAUCGCAGCUAAACCUGUACCCUAAUCAUACGAAUACAGAGCUAGCGGUAAAGUCACAGUUGGCCUUUGGAUAAUGGUGGUUGGUAGAAAAUGGGGGUCAUCAAGGGGGAAGUCAUUGCCUUGAAAAGUGGACCUUGUCCCCUGAAGUGUCCUGAGAGAUAUCUUGUUAAGCACUCACAUUUUCAGAACAACUAAGAGACAGUGAGUGGUCUUCGGAUCAGAUGAAGCAACACAAUGAAAUUGGGGGGAAGACAGACUUAUAAGAGCUUUAGCAAAGCUUUCCUUCACCUGAGGUUUGCAUGAGAAAGGGCUUUGGAAUUCAGAACAAAGGAACUGCCUGCCUUUAACUUGUGCGUUUGCAUAUUUAUAAAUUUCCCCCUUCGCCCUGUAGCCCAUGUUAGGAGAUGAGUCCAUUUCAAAACUUUUUAGAUCAAAAAAU
rnacentral:lncRNA from 1 species